rnacentral:lncRNA from 10 species
AGAACGCAGGGUCCAUGACUGAGGAGCAUCAAAAGAUAAGGCCGGAGAGACUUGAAGGCUUUGGUAUCAUAUGCUGUAUUAUCACAUUGAAGUGAAUUAGAUAAAAGAAAAUGUUAUUAAGAAAAUCAUAAGGAAGAUAAAUAUAUUUACUCCUUUUUUUGUUGUUGUUUUUUGAGACAGAGUCGUCUCGCUCUGUAGCCCAGGCUGGAGUGCAGUGGUGCGAUUUUCGCUCACUGCAACCUCCGCCUCCUGGGUUUAAGCCUAGCCUCCCUCGUAGCUAGGAUUACAGGCGCCCACCACCAUGCCCAGCUAAUUUUUGUAUUUUUGUAAUUUUAGAUUACAGGUGCCUAGCACCAUGCCCGGCUAAUUUUUGUAUUUUUAGUUGAGUCAGAGUUCCACCAAGUAGGCCAGGCUGGUCUUGAACUCCUGACCUCAGGUGAUCUGCCCACCUUGGCCUCGCAAAGUGCUGGGAUUACAGGCAUGAGUCACUGCAUCUGGCCUGUUUACUCUUAAGUAGAAGUGGCUCAUCAUCAAGGUCUUCAUUCUUGUCAUCACAUUGGGUAGGCUGAAGAGGAGGAGAAAGAGGAGGGGCUGGUCUUGCAAUCUCAGGGGUGGCAGAGGAGGAAGAAAUUCACAUAUAAGUUGAUCCUUACAGUUCAAACCAGUAUUAUUCAAGGAUCAACUUUAAAUCAAUUAUACCUCCAUAAAGCUGCUAAAGAGAAAAAGAGAAAGAAAAUCUUUGAAUUGGCUUCUUAUUCACAAGUGUGGAGUCAGAAUAAUGAUACCCCAAAGAUAUGCAUGUCCUAAUCUCUGGAGACAUGAGUAUGUGCAACUGUGUAGGACUGUGAACAUGUCACCUUACAUGGCAAAGGAACUUUGCAGAUGUACAGUGAUUAAAGGAGUAUACUUGAAGAUCAGGAGAGUAUCUUGGAUUAAUGGUGUGGGACCAAUGUAAUCACAUGAUCUCUUAAAAGGAAAGAGCAUUUCUCAGUUGGGUCAGAGAGAUGAGACGGAAGAAGAAGGUGGAGAGAUUUGAGGGAAUCAACCUGACAUUGCUGGAUUUGAAGAUGGAGCAAGAAGUCUACUUGCCAAGCAAAGUGGUAGCAGCCUCUAGAAGCUGGGAAUGAGCCUCAGUUUACAGGAAGCAAGAAGACAGGGACUUCAGGCCUACCUCUACAAAGAAGUAAGCUGCAAAUAACCCAAAUGAGCAGGAAAUGAAUUCUCCCCUAGAAUCUUCAGGAAGAAAUGCAGCCUACAGCCUCUUGAUGAGACCCAUGCUAGAUUGCUGACCUAGUGAACUAUAGGAUACUCAAUUUGUGUUAUUUUAUGCUACAAAGUUUGUAGCAAUCUGUUCCAGCAGUAAAAGAAAAUGAAUACAAAAAGUUUUCAUGGGCAGAAAGUUGGAAUUAUUGACUCAAGUAGCUGUUUGAAUGACCUGUGCUCCCAGUUAUAAAUCACAAAUAAUCGAGUUGAUUGUAUUUUGCCAUUGUUUACUGCAUGUUCCUUUCUCAACAACUUUAGGUUUACUCACUUUUUAAAAUGCAGCUCUAGCCACACAGUUGUUCUGCCAUAGGCUGGUUGGGGUGUAGGGGGUGGGUAGUUCUUAUGUCCUAGUCUGAGGCAUACACAAGUUACGUUUUCUGCAAAUAUAGAAAUAUUUUCUCAUUAAACACUGGUCACAUCAAACAUCACAUUGCAAUUUUUUGGGGUGUGUGUGUGUGUGUGUGUGUGUGUGUACAGAUUUUGAAAGCCAACAAAUUUCAAGAUAAAACAUUGUACACUUUUCCAGACACCUAAAAACUUCUCAGGUUUAAUAGUCUGUAACAGGCUGUUUGAAUUUAAAUACUGGCUCCACUCUAUACCUCGCUGGUUGCUUAACACUCUGUGCCUUAGUUUUCUUAUCUGUAAAAUGGGAUGACAGGGCUACACUGAACAUAAGGAUUAAAUGAAUUUGUCUCUGUAAAGCACUUUUAACAAUGGCUGGUACAUUGUAAGCACCAGUGAGUGUCGGGUUGUUAAUUGUUAUUAUUACAAUGAUGUCUUUGCUGCCAGUUAGGACAAUUUCCAACUCAACAGUGGAUUCACCUAACUUCAUGUGCCCUAGCAGAGGAAACCUCAAUUUGCUUGUGUGUCUGUCCCGCCAAGAAAAUGCAGGUCACUUCCUCUGGCUUUCUUGCCUUAAGAGUUCCUGUUUCUGCCGAAGCAGAAGCAGGAAGAGAAAGUGACACAGUGAUGUUUGCUGAGCAGAGCAGGAUUCUGUCCAGUGACUUCUUUUUCCCCAAUUAGGAGGCUGUGUUGGCAAGACAUGGAUUGUUCUUUACGCUUUCCCUAUCUUUUCAGCUUUUUCCAAGAGGCCUUGGUCUCUAUCCUGAGGCUUUCCUCAUCAGCACAUGACGGUGAGCUGAAAGAUUCCUAAAGUUCUGUUGUCUCUCAAAACAAAACAGAACAUUCCAACCAAAUUUAAACAGAUCCAUUUACAAUUUUAUUACAUAUCAGCUUUCCUGUGUGGCAUUUAUUUGAGGAAAGGCUCUCUCAGAUAUGAGGGAGUUGGUUUUAGAAAAUUAAAUCAGACAGACUAAAAUGACGAUCUGAUUCAUGAGAGGAAAGAAGAUACACUAUGUGAUAGAAGAGUUAUUUUUGGAGAACUUAUUUUCGUGACUCUGAAUGCCCAGAGGAGAAAACAUAUGGAUGGUAUUGCUAAUUUAGUACCAUGUCUGCUUCAGGCUCUAUGUGCAGUUUUCUACAGACUGGGCAGCCGACUCUUUGGUCUCCAUUUUUGAAUGGAGUGCUGCAAGAGAUGCUGUCUGACAUACGAAACAGUCAACUGAAAAUAAAGUAGCAGAGUUAACGUAGGCAGUUUUCUUCACUGUGGUUACAAGAUGGCAGGGCCUUCCAAAUUUGCACACUGUACAUUGAAGUGGAAGUGGAUGCUAGCUCUAAAAGCUCUGUGUGGG